AACGAACGCUGGCGGCAUGCCUAACACAUGCAAGUCGAACGAGACCUUCGGGUCUAGUGGCGCACGGGUGCGUAACGCGUGGGAACCUGCCCUUAGGUUCGGAAUAACUCCCCGAAAGGGGUGCUAAUACCGGAUAAUGUCUUCGGACCAAAGAUUUAUCGCCUUUGGAUGGGCCCGCGUUGGAUUAGCUAGUUGGUAGGGUAAAAGCCUACCAAGGCGACGAUCCAUAGCUGGUCUGAGAGGAUGAUCAGCCACACUGGGACUGAGACACGGCCCAGACUCCUACGGGAAGCAGCAGUGGGGAAUAUUGGACAAUGGGCGAAGGCCUGAUCCAGCAAUGCCGCGUGAGUGAUGAAGGCCGUAGGGUUGUAAAGCUCUUUUACCCGGGAUGAUAAUGACAGUACCGGGAGAAUAAGCUCCGGCUAACUCCGUG
rnacentral:rRNA from 1 species